UCAAACUCAAACAUAUAUUUAUAUCGAUUCUCCAUCAACCAAUGAUGACUCCAAAGCAUUAGAAACUCUUUCUAAUCUUCAUUCUAUUUUUGGUCAGAAGAUUUUUUUUCGAGUCAUUUAGAGAUGAGAAUUCACAGGAUGCGAUCUCUUCUUAUUAGGAGUGAUCGAUUCCAUGUUGACCGACUCAUAACCUUCAUACACACUCCACCAUGUCCAAAACAUCCCAUACAUGUCUUAAUGCCAUGUCUGGGUAUGAACUAAAAUAUGGGUUCAUGUGCACAAGAUUUCAUGGUGAUCUUAGGUUUAAGGAUCACUUGCACAACUCCCACUUAGAUAACCAUCUUUGAAUGCAAGUAAGGUUUUCAUAAGAUGUUACUUGUCAUCGAGUCAAUUCAAUAAACUCAUAUCCAAAUGAGCACCCACAUUCUUGUAUUAGCGUCCCUACACAAAUGGCUAGUGAGAUCAACCACCUUCUCCAUUGAGCAUACACAGGAUGUGCCCGUCUUUGCGGAACACUGAUCCCCAACUCAAUGUUCCCACGAUCAGAAAUAUUUAAGAUUAGAAUUUUAGGAUUAUAGGUCUCAUUGGUAUGACCCAUUUGUGUCUCCUAAAAUCAUUGUCUUAAUUUUUUUUGGGGUUCAUCAUAAUCUUAGACAUAAUAAGAUGCAGCUAAAAAGAUGAAUUAAUGCCUCAUUUUAUUAUCAAAUAAUAAAUGUCAGUAUAUGAGUUGGAAAAUUACAAAGAAAAGUCCCAUCGUAACAUACAUGCGAUUGGCUUGUAGGGCACUUUUCUUUCAAUCUUCCAUUUGUACUAAAGCUAAUCGUCUUUGUAUUUUAAUUCCAUACAAUCA
rnacentral:lncRNA from 1 species